CUCCCUAAUACAUGCAAGUCGAGCGGACAGAUGGGAGCUUGCUCCCUGAUGUUAGCGGCGGACGGGUGAGUAACACGUGGGUAACCUGCCUGUAAGACUGGGAUAACUCCGGGAAACCGGGGCUAAUACCGGAUGGUUGUCUGAACCGCAUGGUUCAGACAUAAAAGGUGGCUUCGGCUACCACUUACAGAUGGACCCGCGGCGCAUUAGCUAGUUGGUGAGGUAACGGCUCACCAAGGCGACGAUGCGUAGCCGACCUGAGAGGGUGAUCGGCCACACUGGGACUGAGACACGGCCCAGACUCCUACGGGAGGCAGCAGUAGGGAAUCUUCCGCAAUGGACGAAAGUCUGACGGAGCAACGCCGCGUGAGUGAUGAAGGUUUUCGGAUCGUAAAGCUCUGUUGUUAGGGAAGAACAAGUGCCGUUCAAAUAGGGCGGCACCUUGACGGUACCUAACCAGAAAGCCACGGCUAACUACGUGCCAGCAGCCGCGGUAAUACGUAGGUGGCAAGCGUUGUCCGGAAUUAUUGGGCGUAAAGGGCUCGCAGGCGGUUUCUUAAGUCUGAUGUGAAAGCCCCCGGCUCAACCGGGGAGGGUCAUUGGAAACUGGGGAACUUGAGUGCAGAAGAGGAGAGUGGAAUUCCACGUGUAGCGGUGAAAUGCGUAGAGAUGUGGAGGAACACCAGUGGCGAAGGCGACUCUCUGGUCUGUAACUGACGCUGAGGAGCGAAAGCGUGGGGAGCGAACAGGAUUAGAUACCCUGGUAGUCCACGCCGUAAACGAUGAGUGCUAAGUGUUAGGGGGUUUCCGCCCCUUAGUGCUGCAGCUAACGCAUUAAGCACUCCGCCUGGGGAGUACGGUCGCAAGACUGAAACUCAAAGGAAUUGACGGGGGCCCGCACAAGCGGUGGAGCAUGUGGUUUAAUUCGAAGCAACGCGAGAACCUUACCAGGUCUUGACAUCCUCUGACAUCCUAGAGAUAGGACGUCCCCUUCGGG
rnacentral:rRNA from 1 species